GACGAACGCUUGCGGCGUGCUUAACACAUGCAAGUCGAACGGAAAGGCCCUGCUUUUGUGGGGUGCUCGAGUGGCGAACGGGUGAGUAACACGUGAGUAACCUGCCCUUGACUUUGGGAUAACUUCAGGAAACUGGGGCUAAUACCGGAUAGGAGCUCCUGCUGCAUGGUGGGGGUUGGAAAGUUUCGGCGGUUGGGGAUGGACUCGCGGCUUAUCAGCUUGUUGGUGGGGUAGUGGCUUACCAAGGCUUUGACGGGUAGCCGGCCUGAGAGGGUGACCGGCCACAUUGGGACUGAGAUACGGCCCAGACUCCUACGGGAGGCAGCAGUGGGGAAUAUUGCACAAUGGGCGGAAGCCUGAUGCAGCAACGCCGCGUGCGGGAUGACGGCCUUCGGGUUGUAAACUGCUUUCGCCUGUGACGAAGCGUGAGUGACGGUAAUGGGUAAAGAAGCACCGGCUAACUACGUGCCAGCAGCCGCGGUGAUACGUAGGGUGCGAGCGUUGUCCGGAUUUAUUGGGCGUAAAGGGCUCGUAGGUGGUUGAUCGCGUCGGAAGUGUAAUCUUGGGGCUUAACCCUGAGCGUGCUUUCGAUACGGGUUGACUUGAGGAAGGUAGGGGAGAAUGGAAUUCCUGGUGGAGCGGUGGAAUGCGCAGAUAUCAGGAGGAACACCAGUGGCGAAGGCGGUUCUCUGGGCCUUUCCUGACGCUGAGGAGCGAAAGCGUGGGGAGCGAACAGGCUUAGAUACCCUGGUAGUCCACGCUGUAAACGGUGGGUACUAGGUGUGGGGUCCAUUCCACGGGUUCCGUGCCGUAGCUAACGCUUUAAGUACCCCGCCUGGGGAGUACGGCCGCAAGGCUAAAACUCAAAGGAAUUGACGGGGCCCCGCACAAGCGGCGGAGCAUGCGGAUUAAUUCGAUGCAACGCGUAGAACCUUACCUGGGUUUGACAUGGAUCGGGAGUGCUCAGAGAUGGGUGUGCCUCUUUUGGGGUCGGUUCACAGGUGGUGCAUGGCUGUCGUCAGCUCGUGUCGUGAGAUGUUGGGUUAAGUCCCGCAACGAGCGCAACCCUUGUUCACUGUUGCCAGCACGUUAUGGUGGGGACUCAGUGGAGACCGCCGGGGUCAACUCGGAGGAAGGUGGGGAUGACGUCAAGUCAUCAUGCCCCUUAUGUCCAGGGCUUCACGCAUGCUACAAUGGCUGGUACAGAGAGUGGCGAGCCUGUGAGGGUGAGCGAAUCUCGGAAAGCCGGUCUCAGUUCGGAUUGGGGUCUGCAACUCGACCUCAUGAAGUCGGAGUCGCUAGUAAUCGCAGAUCAGCAACGCUGCGGUGAAUACGUUCCCGGGGCU
rnacentral:rRNA from 1 species